rnacentral:rRNA from 1 species
ACCUGCGGAAGGAUCAUUAAUGAAAUGAACCCUUGAGGCUGUUGCUGGCCCAGAUUGUUGGGCAUGUGCACACUUCUGGUCAUUAUCAAUUCCACCUGUGCACACUUGUAGACACUUGGGAAUGAGAGACUUUGACCAGUCUCUUGAGUUGAAUGAAAUCUGGGUGUCUAUGCCAUUUUUAUUACACACUAGUUGCAUGUCUACAGAAUGUUGAUUUGGGAUUAUAUAUACAACUUUCAACAACGGAUCUCUUGGCUCUCGCAUCGAUGAAGAACGCAGCGAAAUGCGAUAAGUAAUGUGAAUUGCAGAAUUCAGUGAAUCAUCGAAUCUUUGAACGCACCUUGCGCUCCUUGGCAUUCCAAGGAGCAUGCCUGUUUGAGUGUCAUUAAAAUCAUCAAAACCUAUCUGCAUUUGAUAGGUAAUUGGAUAUUGGGGGUUGCAGGCUUGUUCAGAUAAGCCUGCUCUCCUUGAAUGUAUUAGUGGAGAAACAAAAGCCAUUUGAACUCCAUUGGUGUGAUAAAAGACUAUCAAUGCCAGGAGCCAUAUUGGUUCUCUCUGCUGUCUAACUGUCUGCAUAAGUCAGACAACUUGACCAACUUGACCUCAAAUCAGGUAGGACUACCCGCUGAACUUAAGCAUAUCAAUAAG